ensembl:Y_RNA Y_RNA Y RNA
GGCUGGUCCGAGUGCAUCGGUGUUUACAACUAAUUGAUCACAACCAGUUACAGAUUCCUUUGUUCCUUCUCCACUCCCACUGCUUCACGUGACUAGCCUUAA